CGUCAUUUUAAUAAAUAAACAUCGAACAGAGUGGACGCUGCGUUAUCACGGAAGAGAGAAGUGACACCUCUCUGACAAGUGGAAGAUUGCGGGAGUGGCGGGGGAUGGAGGCGUAGCCCUCUUACAAAGAGACAUGGACCAUACCCAGUUAUCAUGUUAAAAAUAUAGCAAUCACUUAGUAGAAUUAAAUUCAAAUUUCUAUUUCAGAGUAAAGUUCAAAUUACCGACAUAGUGGAAUAUUUCUUUUUAUAAUGCAAGAGAUUAAGGAUUGCAAGUCUGCUUGAAGUUUUCAGUGUAUCAUAAGAGAAACAAGAUUAGAGGCCCUGCGAAAGUAAAAGUUAGCAGGUUGGUUGGUCUGGUUAAAG
rnacentral:misc_RNA from 1 species